rnacentral:rRNA from 2 species
CCCUUCGGGGGCAAAAUGACAGGUGGUGCAUGGUUGUCGUCAGCUCGUGUCGUGAGAUGUUGGGUUAAGUCCCGCAACGAGCGCAACCCUUAUGACUAGUUGCCAGCAUUUAGUUGGGCACUCUAGUAAGACUGCCGGUGACAAACCGGAGGAAGGUGGGGAUGACGUCAAAUCAUCAUGCCCCUUAUGACCUGGGCUACACACGUGCUACAAUGGAUGGUACAACGAGUUGCGAGACCGCGAGGUCAAGCUAAUCUCUUAAAGCCAUUCUCAGUUCGGACUGUAGGCUGCAACUCGCCUACACGAAGUCGGAAUCGCUAGUAAUCGCGGAUCAGCACGCCGCGGUGAAUACGUUCCCGGGCCUUGUACACACCGCCCGUCACACCAUGAGAGUUUGUAACACCCGAAGCCGGUGGCGUAACCCUUUUAGGGAGCGAGCCGUCUAAGGUGACAAA